UCGGCACCAGUAAUGCGCGCCGCGCACAGUAAUAUUAGUUGAUAUUGCGGUGACGGGAGAGGUCGGAACGUCUACAUUAAUCUAUUAGUGUGUAUUCGGAUUCCGACCGCAAUGACUUUGAAAAUUCUUUUUAGUUUCAU
ensembl:ncRNA C07H6.17 ncRNA